UACUAGGAACUGAAUUGAAAUACUGGUAGGAAAAAUACAGCCAUCUAUUUCCAGAGUUAUACAUUGCUGGGCUGUAUCCACAUACAGGAUUUUUAGCUCUAAAAAGGUCCACACCAUAUCCUUUACCAGAGUAAAGCUGUUAUUAGCCUGCUAGUUUGUUUCCCAAGAAAGACAUGCCUAUUUGCAAGGCUAAUUAUUAUUAAUCACACUCCUCACCGACCCACUUAGGCUGUUGGAGAAGCUGGGGACAAUUUCUCACACACACAAGUGGCCCUGCACAUGCAGCAGCCCUGCUCUCUGUGUCCCCACGAGGUGCUGCUGAAUGUAUUCAACAAGGAUGGUGAAGGGCCUUGAGAGGAAGCCAUGUGAGGAGCAGCUGUGGUCACUUGGUGUGUUCAGCCUGGAGAAGAGGAGACUGAGAGGAGACCUCAUUGCAGUCCAGAAUUUCCUCAUGAGGAGAAGUGGAGUGGCUGCUGAUGCGUGCAGAGGAUACACUGAACACAAGGACUCUCCGUCUUCCCCUGGUCCAGCCAUCUGUGACUUAGACUUCAACACCUGAGGGAUGCAAUGUGUUUAUUUGCUACAGAGAGACUGACCUUUCCUUUUACAUUUAAUACCUUUGAGACCAUUUAUAUUCUUCAUCUCCAUGUC